rnacentral:rRNA from 1 species
AUUGAACGCUAGCGGGAUGCCUUACACAUGCAAGUCGAACGGCAGCGCGGACUUCGGUCUGGCGGCGAGUGGCGAACGGGUGAGUAAUGUAUCGGAACGUGCCCAGUAGCGGGGGAUAACUACUCGAAAGAGUAGCUAAUCCCGCAUACGCCCUACGUGGGUAAGGGGGGGAUCGCAAGACCCCUCCCUAUUGGAGCGGCCGAUAUCGGAUUAGCUGGUUGGUGAGGUAAAGGCGCACCAAGGCAACGAUCCGUAGCUGGUUUGAGAGGACGACCAGCCACACUGGGACUGAGACACGGCCCAGACUCCUACGGGAGGCAGCAGUGGGGAAUUUUGGACAAUGGGGGCAACCCUGAUCCAGCCAUUCCGCGUGUGCGAUGAAGGCCUUCGGGUUGUAAAGCACUUUUGGCAGGAAAGAAAUCGCACGGAUUAAUACUCUGUGUGGAUGACGGUACCUGCAGAAUAAGCACCGGCUAACUACGUGCCAGCCGCCGCCGUAA